rnacentral:sRNA from 1 species
AGCAGCCGCGGUAAUUCCAGCUCCAAUAGCGUAUAUUAAAGUUGUUGCAGUUAAAAAGCUCGUAGUUGAAUUUCGGGAUCAAUCUAUCGGUCGUGCAAUAGUACGUACUGAUUUUAUUGAUUCCUCCCUUCUGAUGAACUGUGAUGUCAUUAAUUUGGUGUCAUAGGGAAUCAGGACUGUUACUUUGAAAAAUUAGAGUGUUUAAAGCAGGCUCACGCUUGAAUACAUUAGCAUGGAAUAACGAAAUAGGACGUUUGAUUCUAUUUUGUUGGUUUCUAGGAUCGACGUAAUGAUUAAUAGGGAUAGUUGGGGGCAUUAGUAUUCAAUUGUCAGAGGUGAAAUUCUUGGAUUUAUUGAAGACUAACUACUGCGAAAGCAUUUGCCAAGGAUGUUUUCAUUAAUCAAGAACGAAAGUUAGGGGAUCGAAGACGAUCAGAUACCGUCGUAGUCUUAACCAUAAACUAUGCCGA